rfam:Crassostrea gigas strain 05x7-T-G4-1.051#20 contig24248, whole genome shotgun sequence.
GUCGGGUACGGUGACAUGACCCCGAGUACGGGUCUUGGAUACACCGUCGGUUCUAUGUGUGCCAUCAGUGGUGUCCUAGUCAUUGCUCUUUCGGUUCCCGCCAUUGUUCAAAAC